AACAGGUUUCAUUUAUGAGCGGCCAACAACACCAACGGGCAGUCCGUCAGUCAGUCAGUCAGCCUCCGAUUCCGAUUCCGACUUCUCCUCCAACUCCACCAUCCCCACCCCCAGCUCCAGCUUCCAUAGCAUCUCCAAACGCCAAACUCCACUUGGCGGCCCAGUGGUCAGCGCGAUUCAGCCCGGCUGCUGCAGCCCAAGUUGGCGAUGGAGCUCGGAGUCAGUGCCAGACUAGGUAAUGUUCCCACGAAACAGGUUGUGGGUCCACCUCAGCUCAGAUCAGCUCGGCGGUCCGCAGUCCGCGGUCCUGCAACGUCGGAACCCGGGGCAGCGGCUCGAGCUCGAACUGAAGUGUUGCGCCUUCGUGCAUGGCCGAGAGCUAUGGGCCACCGCCACUCUGGCGUUGAACGGACUGAGCUCGGGCUCGCUUCUUUUAGUUCGAUGGGUACGUCUGCAGCAAAGGCUAUGUGCGAGCCGGGCCCAGUCGAGUAUAUGGCCAUGGGCAAGGCAAUGCAAGCCGAGCGGAGUCAGGGCUGCCUCUGAACUGCAUCUGAACUGGCGGGGUAGCUGCAACUGCAACUGGAAGUUGGUAGCAGCACCUGGGGCUGGGUUUCGGCCAGGUCCACCGCUCGCACUUACUGCCAAUGGCAGCGGCAAAUCAAAAUCUGUGCACAAUUAUGGCCUACACAUCUGGUCAGAAAGCCAGCCAGAUAGCCAGCUAGCCAGGUCGGAAUGGAAUGGAAUGGAUCGGCCAGCAUUGUCUGCGGCAUUUGCAGCACUCGAGUGGCCAUUAGAAGAUGUGGACGCAGACGCCUCAUGAGCUCCCAAUUAGUGUUGGAUUACAUAUUUGUAGCCCGAUCCUGCGGCAUUGUAACCAAAUUGGAACAUAUAAAUUAUGGACAAAUUCGGAAUGCCGGCAAGACGAGCCGGAUAAAUUGAGCGCAUUAGAGCGAGAGGCUUCGUUUGGUGGAUUAUCAGAAUUAUAAGUUCAUUUAAAGCAUUCAAAUUGGAAAUUAAAUCGCAAUGAAUCAUCACAAAACGCCGUCCGAUUUAACGCCCCGGAAUUGUUGUGAAUAAACGAGAUAUUCCAUCCAUGGAAUGGCUGGCGCA
rnacentral:sRNA from 1 species